rnacentral:piRNA from 1 species
GAUGACCGGCUGGUUGGCAACUCU